GCCAUAGCUCAGUUAGUAGAGCAUGAGACUCUGAAUCUCAGGGUCAUGAGUAUGAGCCCCACAUUGGCUGUA